rfam:Bacteroidetes bacterium MedPE-SWsnd-G2 Bacteroidetes-MedPE-SWsnd-G2-C7, whole genome shotgun sequence.
UAAAUCGAGGAAGGAUUUGACUGAUUGCAACCUCUGAAACUGAUUUAUUAAUCAGCUAAAACAAAAAUGCUAAAGGACAGUGU